rnacentral:rRNA from 1 species
AUACGUAGGUGACAAGCGUUAUCCGGAUUUACUGGGCGUAAAGGGCGUGUAGGCGGUCUUGCAAGUCAGAAGUGAAAUCCCUGAGCUCAACUCGGGCGCUGCUUCUGAAACUGCAGGACUUGAGUGCUGGAGGGGAUAGCGGAAUUCCUAGUGGAGCGGUAAAAUGCGCAGAUAUUAGGAAGAACACCGGUGGCGAAGGCGGCUAUCUGGACAGUAACUGACGCUGAGGCGCGAAAGCGUGGGGAGCAAACAGGAUUAGAUACCCUGGUAGUCCACGCCGUAAACGAAGAAUACUAGGUGUAGGGGGUAUCGACUCCCUCUGUGCCGCAGUUAACACAAUAAGUAUUCCGCCUGGGGAGUACGGCCGCAAGGUUGAAACUCAAAUGAAUUGGCGGGG